rnacentral:rRNA from 1 species
GAUGAACGCUGACAGAAUGCUUAACACAUGCAAGUCUACUUGAUUCUACUUCGGUAGUUGAUGGUGGCGGACGGGUGAGUAACGCGUAAAGAAUCUGCCCUUUAGUUUGGGAUAACCUUUGGAAACGAAGGCUAAUACCGGAUAUUAUGGAGACGUCGCAUGGCGACUCCAUGAAAGCUAUAUGCGCUAGAGGAAGACUUUGCGUCCCAUUAGUUAGUUGGUGAGGUAAUGGCUCACCAAGACCGCGAUGGGUAGCCGGCCUGAGAGGGUGAUCGGCCACCAGGGAACUGAGACACGGUCCUUACUCCUACGGGAGGCAGCAGUGGGGAAUAUUGGACAAUGGGCCACAAGCCUGAUCCAGCAAUUCUGUGUGCACGAUGAAGGUCUUCGGAUUGUAAAGUGCUUUCAGUAGGGAAGAAAAAAAUGACGGUACCUACAGAAGAAGCGACGGCUAAAUAUGUGCCAGCAGCCGCGGUAA